UACGGAGGGGGCAAGCGUUAUUCGGAAUUAUUGGGCGUAAAGGGCGCGUAGGCGGCUAGAUGUGUCAAAGGUGAAAUCCCUCGGCUCAACUGAGGAACUGCCUUUGAAACUGUCUGGCUUGAGGCCGGGAGAGGGUAGCGGAAUUCCCAGUGUAGCGGUGAAAUGCGAAGAUAUUGGGAGGAACACCAGUGGCGAAGGCGGCUACCUGGACCGGUUCUGACGCUGAGGCGCGAAAGCGUGGGGAGCAAACAGG
rnacentral:rRNA from 1 species